GAGAGAGAGAGAAAAGGAGAAACUUUCUACACUGCUACUUAUUUGUGGAACUUUUACAGGAGAGACACAGCAACAUAGGAUAGUUUUGACUUUAUCUGUACAAUCCAUGUACAUUCCCAGCCACAGCAGCAGGCUUGCUGUUUGUCGUGAUAGCUGGAAGUAGAAAUGGUAGAAAUGUCAUUUUACAGCUGAGAACAUGAGGAGAAGAGCUGUAUGAAGGACCAAUGCCCGGUUAUACAUACCAGACAGACAGCAGAGAAGACCUAGUACAGAUGAUAUUAUACAUGAAUGUUAAGGCUUGUAGAUAAUGUAUAUUCCAAGCUCUCUGUGUGUAUGUGUGUGUGUGUGUGUAUUUGCGCACGUGUGUGUGUUUGCGCACAUGUGCGCAAGGGACAGAAGGUGUCAUCUGUGGAGCCCUUUCGUUUAUUCUAUCAAAAAGGCAACUGGUACCGUAUAUGAGGCGAAAUGGAAGGUCCCAACAUGAACAUUAAAUUGACUUUGGAAGGCUCCAGGCAUUCCUGCUCGACACCACAUUAGACCCGGCUACUCCCCACCUCGAGAUGAUGGGCAGCCUGCCAGGUAGGGGUUGCCAUGACUCCUAACACCACCCCUUCCCUCUGCACUCCCUCUCCCUUGAAGGUGCCAAAUUUUCGGGCAGGCUGGGCUGGCCAAGGUUUUGAUUUAGACAAAAGAUGUCUUCACAAUGUCAGCAGAAUGCUUUAUGGAAAUGCUGUGGCUUUCUGGUAGGAAACCAUGUGACCCCCUCGGCCAAGGUUUUGUUAUGGUGCAAGGAGGAAGAGAAAGAGAGAAUGCGAUGCCAGCAAAGGGUUAUGCUUUCUUUUUUGGUCUUUCUUUCAUUCUUGUGUUUGCUUAGAAAAUGGCGGAUGGUGCGGUGCUGAAAUUAACCCGACUUGCCAAUGGAGAUGGGCACAAAAACAUAGCUUGACUUUUAUUUUAUCAGAAGCGGAUGCUUUUUUGCAUGGCACCACGUUUCAUCUAUUUUUGAUUCAAGCUCAAUCCUGCUUCCUGUCUGUCUGUCUCCGGCCGCGUACAAAAGAGAGGUCAGAACAAUCCAAACCAAAUAGAGAUGAUGAAUGCCAAAUGGUUAGUAGAGAUCUGGGGAUGGGAAGAGAGUGAGAUUACUCCAUACCGUGUAAGGCACACAAUCAACAAGGUACUGUGGAGCCCCCCCCCCCCUCUCUUUCUCUCUCAGUGUAUGCUCACUCACAGGACGAAAAGAAGUAGGUAGCCAAGGUGUAAGGGACGGGGUGGCUGAAGGGCGGCGUUCCUCAGACGGAGCAGAGCCGAACGCUCUCUCCUCCUCUCCCCUUGUCAUUGGUAUGCAGUGGCUGUUCCCCAGGCGACAGGGCCACUGGGUUCGGGCUGAGCUUACUGCAAGAGGAAAGUCAGCGACACAGAGGAGAGGAGGACAGCAGGUAAGGGUAAUGAGAACAGGCAGAGAAAGGAAAGGGGGAAAGAGAGAAGGAGGGAAGAAGAGGACAAGCGAAAGGAGGACAAGAUGUCCCAAGGGGCUUUGGGGGUGAGGCACCCCCUGACCCUUCGCACUCCGUACACUGUCCAGACACACACACACACACACACACACACACACACACACACACACACACACACACACACACACACACACACACACACACACACACACACACACACACACACACACACACACACACACAAACCUAAACUCUUUUAAAAAAGGGUUCCAAAAGGGUUAUUUGACUGUCCCCAUAGGAGAACCCUUUUUGGUUCCAGGUAGAACCUUUUUAGUUCAAUGUAGAACCCUCUGUGGAAAGGGUUCUACAUGAAACCCAAACGGGUUCUACCUGGAAUCAAAAAUAGUUCAUCAAAGUUUCUCCAAUAGGGACAGCCAAUGAACCCAUUUAGGUUCUAGAUAGCACCUUUUUGUUUCUAAGUAUACAGUGCAUUCGGAAAGUAUUCAGACCUCUUCACUUUUUCCACAUUUUGUUAUGUUACAGCCUUAUUCUAUAAUGGAUUACAUUUUUUUUUUAAUUCCCCUUAUCAAUCUAUACACAAUACCCCAUAAUGACAAAGCAAAACCAGUUUUUUAGACAUUUCUGCAGACAAUGAGUAAAAAAUAUUGCUUUUACAGAAAUAUACAGACCCUUUACUCAGUACUUUGUUGAAGCACCUUUGGCAGCAAUUACAGCAUUGAGUCUUCCUGGGUAUGACGCUACAAGCUUGGCACACAUGUAUUUGGGGUGUUUCUCCCAUUCUUCUCUGCAGAUCCUCUCAAGCUCUGUCAGGUUGGAUGGGGAGCAUCGCUGCACAGCUAUUAUCAGGUCUCUCCAGAAAUGUUUGAUCACUUUCAAGUCUGGACUCUUGUUGGGCCACUCAAGGACAUUCAGAGACUUGUUCCGAAGCCACUCCUGCAUUGUUGGCUGUGUGCUUAGGGUCUUUGUCCUGUUGGAAGGUAAACCUUCACCCCAGUCUGAGGUCCUGAGAGCUCUGAAGCAGGUUUUCAUCAAGGAUCUCUCUGUACUUUGCUCUGUUCAUCUUUCCCCCGAUCCUGAUUAGUCUCCCAGUCCCUGCCACUGAAAAAACAUUGCCACAGAAUGAUGCUGCCACCACCAUGCUUCACCGUAGGAUUGGUGCUAGGUUUCCUCCAGAAGUGACUCUUUGCAUUCAGGCCAAAGAGUUCAAUCUUGGUUUCAUCAGACCAAAGAAUGUUGUUUCUCAUGGUCUGAUAGUCUUUAGGUGCCUUUUGGCAAACUCCAAGUGGACUGUUAUGUGCCUUUUACUGAGGAGUGGCAUCCAUCUAGCUACUUUAACGGCCUGAUUGGUGGAGUGCUGCAGAGAUGGUUUUCCUUCUGGAAGGUUCUCCCAUCUCCACAGAGGAACUCUCACAGAGGAACUCUCAUGGAAAUACUUUCCGAAUGCGCUGUAUAUGUAUUAAAGGUCCAAUGCAGCUGUUUUAUUCUCAAUAUCAAAAAUAAUUUGUAGGUAACAGUUAAGUACCUUACUGUGAUUAUUUUUUAAGUAAAAUGGUCAAGAAGAAAAAAAAUGUGCUUCUUCGCAAAGAGCACUGGGCCUUUAAUGGCUAGAGACUAGACACUUUAUGUCAAGUGCACAUCAUGUAUCCAAAAUGCAAGAACAAAUUUAUUCUCUCUCACAAACACACAAGGGGAGUUUGGGUAAUGUUUGGUACUUUUGGCUUUUUUCUUUGUAAGAGCCUUUAUGACUAUAUAGUGAUAAUGUAAUGCUUCUUGAGAUACAUAUGUUAUAGCUUGAGCUUUACAGCAUAUGAUUUUGUCCAAUAUAUUGUAUUUUAUUAUGUUGUCACGUAAACAUGUUUUUUUUCUUCAAAUACAUGUUUUACAUUUUUGAGAAUAGUGUUAUAAAGAAAGCAAAUGAUUGAAUGCAAACAGUGUAAAAUGUCGUUACAAAAUGUGUGAAAAUAAACAGAUUAAUAUUA